rnacentral:rRNA from 1 species
UACGGAGGGAGCUAGCGUUGUUCGGAUAUACUGGGCGUAAAGCGCACGUAGGCGGCGCAGCAAGUCAGGGGUGAAAUCCCGGAGCUCAACUCCGGAACUGCCCUUGAAACUGUAGUGCUAGAAUCUUGGAGAGGCGAGUGGAAUUCCGAGUGUAGAGGUGAAAUUCGUAGAUAUUCGGAAGAACACCAGUGGCGAAGGCGACUCGCUGGACAAGUAUUGACGCUGAGGUGCGAAAGCGUGGGGAGCAAACAGG